rnacentral:rRNA from 1 species
AUACGGAGGGUGCAAGCGUUACUCGGAAUUACUGGGCGUAAAGCGUACGUAGGCGGCUUGUCAAGUUGGAUGUGAAAUCCCACAGCUUAACUGUGGAACUGCGUCCAAAACUGGCAAGCUCGAGUACAGUAGGGGACAGUGGAACUCAAGGUGGAGCGGUGGAAUACGUAGAGAUCUUGAGGAACACCGGUGGCGAAAGCGACUGUCUGGGCUGUUUCUGACGCUGAGGUACGAAAGCCAGGGGAGCGAACGGGAUUAGAAACCCCGGUAGUCC